rnacentral:rRNA from 1 species
CCUUGAUGACGACUGGCGCACGGGUGAGUAACGCGUAUCCAACCUUCCCAUAACUACGGGAUAACCCGUUGAAAGACGGCCUAAUACCGUAUGAUAUCGUUUGCUGACAUCAAAUAACGAUUAAAGGUUUAGCGGUUAUGGAUGGGGAUGCGUCUGAUUAGCUUGUUGGCGGGGUAACGGCCCACCAAGGCAACGAUCAGUAGGGGUUCUGAGAGGAAGGUCCCCCACAUUGGAACUGAGACACGGUCCAAACUCCUACGGGAGGCAGCAGCC